rnacentral:rRNA from 1 species
GACGAACGCUGGCGGCGUGCCUAAUACAUGCAAGUCGAGCGGAUCUUCAUUAGCUUGCUUUUGAAGAUCAGCGGCGGACGGGUGAGUAACACGUGGGCAACCUGCCUGUAAGACUGGGAUAACUUCGGGAAACCGGAGCUAAUACCGGAUAAUCCUUUUCCUCUCAUGAGGAAAAGCUGAAAGACGGUUUCGGCUGUCACUUACAGAUGGGCCCGCGGCGCAUUAGCUAGUUGGUGAGGUAACGGCUCACCAAGGCGACGAUGCGUAGCCGACCUGAGAGGGUGAUCGGCCACACUGGGACUGAGACACGGCCCAGACUCCUACGGGAGGCAGCAGUAGGGAAUCUUCCGCAAUGGACGAAAGUCUGACGGAGCAACGCCGCGUGAGCGAUGAAGGCCUUCGGGUCGUAAAGCUCUGUUGUCAGGGAAGAACAAGUAUCGGAGUAACUGCCGGUACCUUGACGGUACCUGACCAGAAAGCCACGGCUAACUACGUGCCAGCCGCCGCAGUAAAAC